AAUGUUCCCAGUGCUUUUUUAACCAGUAUCUAAUGUUAUCUAGCUAGCCAAUGUGCAUAGUGCUUUUUUAACCAAGUAUCUAAUGUUAUCUAGCUAGCCAAUGUUCCCAGUGCUUUUUAACCAGUAUCUAAUGUUAUCUAGCUAGCCAAUGUUCCCACUGCUUUUUUAACCUAAGUAUCUAAUUUUAUCUAGCUGGCUUAUGUUCCCAGUGCUUUUAAGCAAAUAGCUAAUGUUAGCUGCGGUCCAAUCUGAAGGGAGCUGCCCAACUAGGCAGCAUUUUCAGGCAGCAUAAGCGCGCUCCCGAGAAAAGGACUGUCCCAUUCGGAAGGUGGCAUGUGCUGCCUACCUGGGCAGCUGCCUUAUUUUACCCCGAUUCUGAAGGCAGCGUGAGAUGUAUCCUUCACGGCGAAGGCAAUCCCAUGAUGCAUUUCACCAGCUCAGAGUUCCAGCGCUCAGAUUUAAAAACAUGGCGGACGGAGCCGGCACUGCGAGGGAGUUUCUGUACAAAUGGAUGAACAUGGGCCGGGGAAGGUGAACUCUGGUCAGACCGGCUGGAGGCAGCGUUAGCUCCCUUUAUGAAUAUAUAUUUUUUUCUUUGAAUGUAAUAAAGUUUUCUCUCUUAACAUUA